AGUCAGUACGAGAGGAACACUUCGUUCAGAUACAUGGUAAAUGCAAUUAGUUGAGCAGCUAUAGUUGCGAUGCUAUCAUCUGUUGGAUUAUGACUGAACGCCUCUAAAUCAGAAUCCAUUCUGGCUACACAAUGUUCCAACCACCCCAAGUUUCACAUGGCAUACUUUAGGUUGCCUGUUUGCAUGUGUUCCUGCAGUUGUCACAAACACAAGGAACCACACAUAAGUUAAAGGCUUGGGUGUGAUGUGGCAUUGGCAGACGACUUAAUUUAACUCAGGUUGUGUAAGUGAUGAAAGUAGCCAUUGUGCUACGAUCCACUGAGCAUCAGCCUGUGUCAACGACCAUUGUUUUUUACUGUUCCAUUUGUUUCUGGGCUUGUUGAUGCUUGCAUUCGCCCGCAGCCUGACCCAUCACCGCGCUUCUGCAAGUGGCUGCAGUAUGCCGAUUGAAAUGCAAAUGCUGCCCCUUCAGAGAGACUUGAAAAGCAAAUGUUGCUCCUUCAGAGAGACAGAGAGGGACGCCAGCCGCAGCGUAGCAUUUCCAUUUCAACCGAAGUGCUCCUUCCUCUGUGGCUGCAGUAUGCCGAUUGAAAUGCAAAUGCUGCCCCUUCAGAGAGACAGAGAGGGACGCCAGCCGCAGCGAAGCAUUUCCAUUUCAACUGAAGUGCUGCUCCCUCUGUGGCUGCCCCCCCUCUAUCAUUAAUAUACGCAUAAUAAGACGCCGGCCGCAGCGCAGCAUUUCCAUUUCAACUAAAGUGCUGCUCCCGCUGUGGCUGGCCUCCCUCUAUGAAUAAUAUGCACAUAAUAAGAGAAGCCAACCGCAGAGGGAGCAGUAUGCUGGUUGACAUGCAAAUGCUGCUCCUUCUGCGGCUGGUCAUUGUCACUUUCUUUUCGUACUGUGGUAGCCGAGGGCUGUGGACAUGCAGGUUUCGCCCACGGAGCGGGUGCAGCGUUCCCGCGUGACGGGGGAGGGGUCCUUGUUCUAAAGCUGUGGCUAAGCAGGCGCUACUUGACCCUCCCAAGCGAAUUGUGAAUUCUCGCGUGGCAAUCGCUGCUGGGCAAGGAACGUGUUCGGACUUGCCUUGUUCAGUGAACAUCCAACUUAGAACUGGAGCGGACAAGGGGAAUCCGACUGUUUAAUUAAAACAAAGCAUUCUCGCGUGGCAAUCGCUUCUGGGCAAGGAAUGUUUUCGGACUUGCCUUGUUCAGUGAACAGCCAACUUAGAACUGGAGCGGACAAGGGGAAUCCGACUGUUGAAUUAAAACAAAGCAUUGCGAUGCCCUGAACAGGUGAUGACGCAAUGUGAUUUCUGCCCAGUGCUCUGAAUGUCGGAGUGAUGAAAUUUAAACAAGCGCGGGCAAAUGGCGGGAGUAACUAUGACUCUCUUAAGGUAGCCAAAUGCUUCGUCAUCUAAUCAGUGACGCGAAUGCAUGGAUUAGCGAGAUCCCCACGGUUCCUAUCGACUAUCUAGCGAAACCACAGCCAAGGAAACGGGCUUGGGGUAAUCAGCGGGGAAAGAAGACCCUGUUGAGCUUGACUCUAGUCUGACUCUGUGAAGUGACUUAGGAGGUGUGGCAUAAGUGGGAAUUUCGGCGAUCUUGAAAUACCACUACUCUUGAUGUUGCUUUACUUAUGAUGCGGGGCUGAAACUGACACACCAGUGAGUUUUGGUUUGCAAGUUGUUGCAUUUGCGGCUGAUCAGUGCGGAGGACAUAGUCAGGUGGGGAGUUUGGCGGGGGCGGCACAUCUGCGAAAUGAUAACGCAGGUGUCCUAAGGUGAGCUCAAUGGGAACAGAAAUCUUAUGUGGACCAAAAGGGGAAAAGCUUGCUUGAUUCUGAUUUUCAGUGCAAAUACAAACUGUGAAAACAUGGCCUAUCGAUCCUUUAGGUCUGAGAAAUGUUCAG
rnacentral:rRNA from 1 species